rnacentral:rRNA from 1 species
GAUAAACGCUGGCGGCGUGCCUAAUGCAUGCAAGUCGCACGAUGCCUUCGGGCAUAGUGGCGGACGGGUGAGUAACACGUAGGAACCUACCCGGAAGUGGGGGAUAACUCCUCGAAAGAGGGGCUAAUACCGCAUACGGUCUACGGACCAAAGCUUCGGCGCUUUCGGAGGGGCCUGCGGCGGAUUAGCUUGUUGGUGGGGUAACGGCCUACCAAGGCGACGAUCCGUAGCUGGUCUGAG